rnacentral:rRNA from 1 species
UUUGAAAUCUGGCUCCCUUGGGGGUCCGAGUUGUAAUUUGUAGAGGGUGCUUUGGUAUUAGCUGUGGUCUAAGACCCUUGGAACAGGGCGUCACAGAGGGUGAGAAUCCCGUAUGUGGCCAGCAGCUCUUGCCUUGUAAAGCCCCUUCGACGAGUCGAGUUGUUUGGGAAUGCAGCUCUAAAUGGGAGGUAAAUUUCUUCUAAAGCUAAAUACUGGCCAGAGACCGAUAGCGCACAAGUAGAGUGAUCGAAAGAUGAAAAGCACUUUGGAAAGAGAGUCAAAAAGCACGUGAAAUUGUUGAAAGGGAAGCGCUUGCAGCCAGACUUGCCCGUAGUUGUUCAUCUAGGCUCUUGCCUAGUGCACUCUUCUGCGGGCAGGCCAGCAUCAGUCCAGGCGGUCGGAUAAAGGCCUUGGGAAUGUGGCUCCUUUCGGGGAGUGUUAUAGCCCAGGGUGCCAUGCGGCCAGCCUGAACUGAGGUCCGCGCUUCUGCUAGGAUGCUGGCGUAAUGGCUGUAAGCGGCCCGUCUUGAAACACGGACCAAGGAGUCUAACAUCUAUGCGAGUGUUUGGGUGUCAAGCCCGAGCGCGCAAUGAAAGUGAACGGAGGUGGGAACCCCUCGGGGUGCACCAUCGACCGAUCCUGAUGUCUUCGGAUGGAUUUGAGUAAGAGCAUAGCUGUUGGGACCCGAAAGAUGGUGAACUAUGCCUGAAUAGGGUGAAGCCAGAGGAAACUCUGGUGGAGGCUCGCAGCGGUUCUGACGUGCAAAUCGAUCGUCAAAUUUGGG